rnacentral:rRNA from 1 species
CCCCAGACUCCUACGGGAGGCAGCAGUGGGGAAUAUUGCACAAUGGGGGAAACCCUGAUGCAGCGACGCCGCGUGAGUGAAGAAGUAUUUCGGUAUGUAAAGCUCUAUCAGCAGGGAAGAAAAUGACGGUACCUGAUUAAGAAGCCCCGGCUAACUACGUGCCAGCAGCCGCGGUAAUACGUAGGGGGCAAGCGUUAUCCGGAUUUAUUGGGUGUAAAGGGCGUGUAGGCGGGAAUGCAAGUCAGAUGUGAAAACCAUGGGCUCAACCCAUAGCCUGCAUUUGAAACUGUAUUUCUUGAGUGCUGGAGAGGCAAUCGGAAUUCCGUGUGUAGCGGUGAAAUGCGUAGAUAUUAGGAGGAACACCAGUGGCGAAGGCGGCUUACUGGACUGUAACUGACGUUGAGGCUCGAAAGCGUGGGGAGCAAACAGGAUUAGAUACCCGCGUA